ACGUCACUUUGAAACCUAUCGGCGGAGCAAGCGGCGCUCAUUUUACUGCGAACUACGCGUAGCCUAAGCUUCAGGGAGGCUUCUGAACAGGAAGCUGCUUUGCUUCGCACUGUGACUCAUCGAUUCCCGAGUGUGAUCAAAUAAUAAUACGCGACGCGUGGUGACUACAAUACCAUCAUCGCAAGUUACUUCAAAAUAUCUCUUCAAACAAGUCAGGCAGCAAGUCACCGAAAUCACUGGGCCGUGCUCGCACAUGGGAGGAAGGAACCAGUGGCUAUUCUGACAUUCGCCGGACCAAGCCAACGCGAAAAGCAAGCAGAAUUUCGCCAGCCUCGUGAACGGACAUAUUCCCAAACGGAGUACAUCCAACAUCUAUGGAGCGUGAUCUCAGUAGGGAAUUGCAACGGCUGCGUUUAGACGCCGCCGGCACCGAUGCGCAGGCAGAUGGAGGAAACAUCGCCGACAAGGAGCCGACCCCCGAAACCCUGGGUCCGGACGACGGCAUUUGUCCAGAGGCUGGGUUGUCCCCUUCCUCACGCUGCCCACACCGACCACCGCCCGUUCCCUGCUGGGAUUGCUACAUCGAACGAAGGCUCCGAGUGCACUCUCAAUAUUACCUACACGAUUCGUUCACGGAAUGGUAUCGCGACAUGCGGUGGCGUUACAACAUGAAAAUGCGGCGUGCAGGCUGCGGAACCACGCGGUUUCCAUGGGAGCGUCGACGGGGGACUCCCCGCAACGUCUUGGAACGGCAGCGGCCGCAGUCCGAGUGCUAACAUGGUUCCAAGAGGACUUCACCUAGAAGAAUAGCGAAGGAGUCAGCCUGAAGUGGAAAUGGAAACCACAACGUUGGUGUGCUCAGCAAGCUGCACACAGAGCAAAAGAUGUACUGGAUGCAUUGUAUUGUUUUGCAGCUUUACUGAGAUAACCACAACUCCCACUAGGUUUCAUCGAAAAUCGCCAUGGCUUUUUUUUUUUAAAUUUAAGAGCUGCAAAAUCUUCCCAUAAUAAUGCUGCAUGCAUUGCACAGUUGCAUAGUCCCCUGCUAUACAUGCGAUUUCCAUACAACUUAAUGUGGCCCGAAAAUAAUGGAGUUUGACGUAUUUCUAUGCAAAACAAAAUUUAUGACUUGCAAACUUAGGCAAUUCUUAAAAAGGUCUGCUUGAUUUCAUUCUCUUCAGGAGGCAUUGCUCCGUAUAUAUAUAUGGAGUAAUGCCUUCUGAAGAGAAUGAAAUCAAGCAGACCUGGUUGCUCACAUAACAUGCAGUAGGCUUUUAUUUCUAGAGCAGAUCUUGCAGCUUGAGGAGCAGUUGUGGACUAACUCCAGCUACUGAGAAUCGCUUGGGCGGCUGGACAAUACUCCUGACAGAAAACAUCCUAGAUAUAAAGAGGGAUUGCUGGACUACUGUAGGUCCUCCGGCAACAUGUCUGACAAUGAGAAAAAGAAACUCCGAAACAAAAAAAUGCUUCAGUAUUUGCCUAACAAGCUGCAAGAAGGUUCUAAACAAGGGAUAUAUUGUACUUAGCAGGGUUAAUCUUAGAGCCUAGCAUGUGGGAAAAGCAGAUCUGCCUCUGCUUUGGCAGAAUUUGUAGUGGCAGCAGUUGC